AACGGCCGUACCAUGCUGAAUAUACCGGUUCUCGUUAGAUCACCGAAGUUAAGCAAAACUUGGGUGGGUGACCACCUGGGAACACUGCGUGCCGUU